GACGAACGCUGGCGGCGUGCUUAACACAUGCAAGUCGAACGGUGAAGCGCCUUCCUUUUUGGUGGGUGUGGAUGAGUGGCGAACGGGUGAGUAACACGUGAGUAACCUGCCCCCUUCUUCUGGAUAACCGCAUGAAAGUGUGGCUAAUACGGGAUAUUCUGGGUCUGUCGCAUGAUGGGUCUGGGAAAGAUAUUGUUUCGGUGGGGGAUGGGCUCGCGGCCUAUCAGCUUGUUGGUGGGGUGAUGGCCUACCAAGGCGGUGGCGGGUAGCCGGCCUGAGAGGGUGGACGGUGACACUGGGACUGAGACACGGCCCACACUCCUACGGGAGGCAGCAGUGGGGAAUAUUGCACAAUGGGCGCAAGCCUGAUGCAGCGACGCCGCGUGAGGGAUGGAGGCCUUCGGGUUGUGAACCUCUUUCGCCAGUGAAGCAGGCCUGCCUCGUUUGUGGGUGGGUUGACGGUAGCUGGAUAAGAAGCGCCGGCUAACUACGUG
rnacentral:rRNA from 1 species